ACUAAAAACAUUAAAAUAGUAAAAAAAUUAUGCGAGGCUUAGUUUAGAGUCUAUUUCAAGAAUUAAUAUUAUGUUGUUGAGAAACAGAAGCAAGGAAAAUUUUAUUUAAAUAUUGAAAAAACAAUUCCUACACUUCUUUUUCACUAAAUCUGAAGCGAGGAAUUUAUUGAGUGAAUGUGACGUCACACACGGAAAAUACCAUUAAUAAGAAUUUCAACUCAAAUCUCUAGAGUUGGAGUGACAACCUAGACCCGUUUAGGAUGCGUUGGACGUGAAAGUAGGCUACUGAAGAACAAUGUACGAGUACACCAUCCUGGGUACAAAAUUUUUAUGCCAUGCCUAUCAUCAGACCCAAAACGCACAGAAUGUGAUAGGUUGCGAGAAGUAAGUGCAUAACGAAGUCCGAACCGUAAAUGGAGGGAGGAGGCUCUUGGUUUAACAACCUUGCUGCCGGUAAAUCGCUUUAGUCCGAUCCCAGACCCUUUCGAGUAUAGUAACAAUCCUUAUGUGAAAGUCUGUUUUUAAAGAAAAUUAUACAUGUAAACAAUUGUAACAACAUGUCAAAAAUAAACUAUUUAACCAGAAAGCAAAAAAGUAUUUUUUCAACAAAAUUACACUCUUUAUGAACAAUUUUUAUUUGAACCCAAACUGAGACCUAUCUCAAAAUAAGUUAUAGAAAUGUGAAAGCUUAUGUUAAAAGCCUUAAUUUAUAUUUAUAUAUCAAUUUAGUUACAGUUUUAAUCAGUGACAACAUUUGAUUUCUUAAAUUUAUUAUUUAAUACAAAUUGUAUUAAAUGA